UACGUAGGGCGCAAGCGUUGUCCGGAAUUAUUGGGCGUAAAGAGCUCGUAGGCGGUCUGUCGCGUCGGAUGUGAAAGCCCGGGGCUUAACCCCGGGUCUGCAUUCGAUACGGGCAGACUAGAGUGUGGUAGGGGAGAUCGGAAUUCCUGGUGUAGCGGUGAAAUGCGCAGAUAUCAGGAGGAACACCGAUGGCGAAGGCAGGUCUCUGGGCCACUACUGACGCUGAGAAGCGAAAGCAUGGGGAGCGAACAGG
rnacentral:rRNA from 1 species